AUGGGUGUCAGUGUUGGGAGGGUUGAGGGUGCAGGGUUAUGUGAUGUUGUGGCAGUGAAGUUGAUGGGUGUCAGUGCAUGGAGGGCCGAGGGUGAGGGCCCUGGUAGGUUUUCUGUGGGCUUGGAGUGGAUGGUGUCAGUGUUCUGAGAGCUUGGGGAAGAGGCAUGGAAGGAGCCUGAGGUGGUGGAACCAAUGGGCGUCAGUGUUGGGAGAACUGAGGGUUAAGGGCUAUGGAAGGUUGUCCAUGGCAGUGGAGGUGAUGGGCAUCAGUGUCAGGAGGGCUGAGGGUGAAUUCCAUGGGUGCUGAUGUGGUGGGGGUGAUGGGCUCAUGUUCAGAGGGCUUAGGAUGAAGGGCCGUGGCUGAUGUGGUG